GCACAAUUCAACAUGAAGCUCGUCCUUUUGUUUUUAGUGUUACUUCCCAUCGUUUUCUCUGCCAGUUUGUAUGAUGAGGAACUUGAUAUGAGACUUUCACUAACCGAUCUAAUCAACCACCUCAAAGGCAUGGAUCUGAGUGGCGGCUGUGAACAAGCUUGUCAAAAUGAAUAUCCCUGGACGUCCUUAUGCCGCCCAGCCUGUCAAUUGAUCACAAUUGGUUGAAACUAACGAAAACAACAUCACUCUAAAUUCUGUUAUCCAAAAUGUCUACCGUAAAAUGAAAUAAACUGUAUUACGAAGCAAAAAGAUGUAAAUUUCAUUUAUUUGUUUAUUUGUAUAUUUACAUAUUUAUUUGUGCUUUAAAUGACAAUAAAUCAUUUGUUACUUGA